AAUCGUUUGGCGCAAUGGUAACGCGUUUAUUCUUGGGGCGAGAGGUUUUUGGUUCGAUUCCAAAAAUAUUUU